AGAGUGAACGCUGGCGGCAGGCCUAACACAUGCAAGUCGAACGGCAGCACAGAGGAGCUUGCUCCUUGGGUGGCGAGUGGCGGACGGGUGAGGAAUACGUCGGAAUCUGCCUAUUUGUGGGGGAUAACGUAGGGAAACUUACGCUAAUACCGCAUACGACCUACGGGUGAAAGCGGAGGACCUUCGGGCUUCGCGCAGAUAGAUGAGCCGACGUCGGAUUAGCUAGUUGGCGGGUAAAGGCCCACCAAGGCGACGAUCCGUAGCUGGUCUGAGAGGAUGAUCAGCCACACUGGAACUGAGACACGGUCCAGACUCCUACGGGAGGCAGCAGUGGGGAAUAUUGGACAAUGGGCGCAAGCCUGAUCCAGCCAUGCCGCGUGUGUGAAGAAGGCCUUCGGGUUGUAAAGCACUUUUGUAACGGAAAGAAAAGUCUUUACGGUUAAUACCCGGAAGUUCUGACGGUACCGUAAGAAUAAGCACCGGCUAACUUCGACGCCAGCACGCCG
rnacentral:rRNA from 1 species